rnacentral:lncRNA from 1 species
AGGGGGACUCAAAACGUUUCUAAAUGUAAAACGCUUUUUUGCAUCUAUAUUGUUUUACUACUUUCACAAUUAUUUUAAGUGUAGGCUCAGAGGGGGUGGGACCCCCGGUACUAACAAUUUUUUUAUCAUGUAACGUUAAUUUGGAAUCAGUCACGGAUCGCAAUUUGUAAGUAAUCUACCCAGCUCUGAAUAUAAACGUGCUUAGUGUUCCGUGCCGGCGAGUUUUGUUUUAAAAAUGGGAGUGUGUUGUGUUGUGUUGUGUUCAGUUACAGUCAGAGACCCUUGAGAGAAGCAAAGCCACAGCGGAUCCUGCUUCGCCCCUCCUUCUCGUGUACUGACACUGGCAGCUAAACCCAUCAUCAUCGAUUAUCUUUUCAAUGAAGAGCAAGGGAGGGCAUACAUUCAACGACGAUUUUGAGCGAGAUUAGCCCAUGAGACUCUCAGAGCCUGAGCAUGAAUCAGGGAAGCGGUGCUUGUUUGUGGACCUCAGUGCCUCAGCACUGCCCCGCACCAUGUGAUCGUUACAAGCAUGCGUCUUGUGCCCACAGAGGCCAUGUUUAUGUACUAGGUGGCAGAGAAACACGCUUACUGAGAGAUUUUUGGAAAUAUAAUAUGGUCUGUGACAAGUGGGCCGAGCUUCCCUGUGAUAGUGAAGAAGCGCCUGAAGAACUGGAGGAGCACACAAUGGUAGCAUAUCAGGUAAUUGCAAUAAAUUCACAAUUCAUUCAUUCCAUGGUUUGCAGUGCAUGCAAA